rnacentral:rRNA from 1 species
AUAGCGUAUAUUAAAGUUGUUGCAGUUAAAAAGCUCGUAGUUGAACUUCAGACCUGGCUGGGCGGUCAGCUUAUCGGCGUGUAAUGUCUGGCUGGGCCUUACUUCUUGGGGAGCUGGUGUGUCCUUUAUUGGGUGCGUCGGUGAACCAGGACCUUUACCUUGAGAAAAUUAGAGUGUUCAAAGCAGGCCUAUGCCCGAAUACAUUAGCAUGGAAUAAUAAAAUAGGACGUGCGGUUCUAUUUUGUUGGUUUCUAGAGUCGCCGUAAUGAUUAAUAGGGAUAGUUGGGGGCAUUGGUAUUGAGUCGCUAGAGGUGAAAUUCUUGGAUUGACUCAAGACCAACUACUG